GACGAACGCUGGCGGCGUGCCUAAUACAUGCAAGUAGAACGCUGAAGAGAGGAGCUUGCUCUUCUUGGAUGAGUUGCGAACGGGUGAGUAACGCGUAGGUAACCUGCCUUGUAGCGGGGGAUAACUAUUGGAAACGAUAGCUAAUACCGCAUAACAAUGGAUGACACAUGUCAUUUAUUUGAAAGGGGCAAUUGCUCCACUACAAGAUGGACCUGCGUUGUAUUAGCUAGUAGGUGAGGUAACGGCUCACCUAGGCGACGAUACAUAGCCGACCUGAGAGGGUGAUCGGCCACACUGGGACUGAGACACGGCCCAGACUCCUACGGGAGGCAGCAGUAGGGAAUCUUCGGCAAUGGGGGCAACCCUGACCGAGCAACGCCGCGUGAGUGAAGAAGGUUUUCGGAUCGUAAAGCUCUGUUGUAAGUCAAGAACGAGUGUGAGAGUGGAAAGUUCACACUGUGACGGUAGCUUACCAGAAAGGGACGGCUAACUACGUGCCAGCAGCCGCGGUAAUACGUAGGUCCCGAGCGUUGUCCGGAUUUAUUGGGCGUAAAGCGAGCGCAGGCGGUUUGAUAAGUCUGAAGUUAAAGGCUGUGGCUCAACCAUAGUUCGCUUUGGAAACUGUCAAACUUGAGUGCAGAAGGGGAGAGUGGAAUUCCAUGUGUAGCGGUGAAAUGCGUAGAUAUAUGGAGGAACACCGGUGGCGAAAGCGGCUCUCUGGUCUGUAACUGACGCUGAGGCUCGAAAGCGUGGGGAGCGAACAGGAUUAGAUACCCUGGUAGUCCACGCCGUAAACGAUGAGUGCUAGGUGUUGGAUCCUUUCCGGGAUUCAGUGCCGCAGCUAACGCAUUAAGCACUCCGCCCGGGGAGUACGACCGCAAGGUUGAAACUCAAAGGAAUUGACGGGGGCCCGCACAAGCGGUGGAGCAUGUGGUUUAAUUCGAAGCAACGCGAAGAACCUUACCAGGUCUUGACAUCCCGAUGCUAUUUCUAGAGAUAGAAAGUUACUUCGGUACAUCGGUGACAGGUGGUGCAUGGUUGUCGUCAGCUCGUGUCGUGAGAUGUUGGGUUAAGUCCCGCAACGAGCGCAACCCCUAUUGUUAGUUGCCAUCAUUCAGUUGGGCACUCUAGCGAGACUGCCGGUAAUAAACCGGAGGAAGGUGGGGAUGACGUCAAAUCAUCAUGCCCCUUAUGACCUGGGCUACACACGUGCUACAAUGGUUGGUACAACGAGUUGCGAGUCGGUGACGGCAAGCUAAUCUCUUAAAGCCAAUCUCAGUUCGGAUUGUAGGCUGCAACUCGCCUACAUGAAGUCGGAAUCGCUAGUAAUCGCGGAUCAGCACGCCGCGGUGAAUACGUUCCCGGGCCU
rnacentral:rRNA from 1 species